rnacentral:lncRNA from 1 species
UCACACUCAGUUAAGCUCCAGUUUUAUUUUCUGUCAUAAAACAGCAUUCUUGGUCACAGUAAUUCUGUUACCACAACGAUGUGAGAACCAGUAAAAUAUAUUAAUGAAUUAAUAAAGAUGUAUGUGGCUUAGUUUACAGUCCUCAGAGGACACUUUGCCAGAGGUGGGAUGGCUGCAGGCUGUAUCUUGAUAGAUGAAUGCUGCUCUUUGUGAGAGUCCAGCAAUUUAUUAUGCCUCUAUGAGAAGACUACCAUCGAUCACAAAAAGCGUAUGAAUAAAUUUACUCAGUGGAGGAAUUCUUAACAGAUGGUUACCAUUUCAGCGUCAGAUGGCAGUAAGCCCUAGAACCAAGCAAUUACAGAGUUCUUUGAUGCAGAACCAGCUGAACAGAUUUUAAUAAUUUCUUCCAAAUUGGAUACACCUGGCCCCCCAGAAAGUGCUGCAAGCUGGAUGAGGGAGGU